ACAAGGCUAGCUAUUUACCAAUGCUUAUACAAACAUGAUUCAACAGCCAUGGAUUUGCAAACACAGACCAUAGUAUAUUUUUUAUGUACAUAACAUUUCCAUUCUAAGAAUCCACAACAACAUUAUAGGAGGCCGAGGGGCGGUGGUGGGGGAGACAAGGCUGCAACGAUGGAGGUGGCAUACAGUCAGUACAACAAACAAAAGAUCCUACAUAUGAGGAUGAAUAUGUAAUCUAUACAUUAAAUUUACCAAAAGAAAAUCACCUAGAACUAAAAAGGCAGAAAAUUAUUGCUUUUGUUAUAGAUAACUUGUCAUGUUGGUGCUUGAACCGAACAAUACUACUAAUACAUACAGUACAGAGAUGCUCCAGUUUCGGUUGUAUCUAUCAAGCAUCAGUUCUUGUUCAAGGCAAGCUUCAAAGAGAAAAAGAGUGGUGCUGAUUCAUAUGUAUAUAUGUAUAUACAGAAGAUGCAAGUGUCAUCAAGUUCGCUUUAGUCAAAGUAAAAACAAAUGGACACAUACAAAACUGAACCAAGGGUGGUGCUGAUUCAUGUGUAUGUACAGAUUGAGGUGCCAGCCAGUUGGUUUCACUCAAAGUUCAACCAAAAAAAUUGACACAUACAAAUUGAAGAAAAGUGUGGUCCUGAUUCAUAUGUAUGUAUGUACAGGAGAUGCAAGUGCCACCAAGAUAGAUAGUUUCAGUCAAAAGUAAAAAACAAUUGGAUACAUACAAACUGAAGCAAACCGUCGUGCUUUUUCAUGUGUACAUACAAAAGAUGCAAGUGGUAUCCAUAAUUUGGAUAUAGGUAGUACGCUCAUGUGGUGAAUUUUGUGAAUCUAUACUCUGCAUCUACCAAAAGGAUCACCCCCCUCACAUGCAAAUAUAAUUCAGUCCAAUGGCUUUCUUCUCCCCUCACAUGCAUAAGACGAGAGCAGACCAUCUAAACAGGCGGACCAGACCUUCACCUUGGGAGAGAGGCGAGUGCUACCUGUUGCCAUGUCGUCGUCGAGCUCGGGUGGUCCUCCUCCUCCUCCUCGAGCAAGACAAGGUUGUUUCUCCCCUACACUCCAAUGGCCAUCUUCUCCAAGGACAU
rnacentral:lncRNA from 1 species